rnacentral:lncRNA from 1 species
GGCCAGAUCCGAUGAAUUUAAAUUUUCCAUUAACAUAUAAUAGGUUUAGACUAUAAAUCCCUUUGAGCGUGGGAAUCAGUGAGGAAAAACAACACUCUGGAAGCUAUUGCUCAAAUAAGCUCAAACACUUAUUUUAGAAUAUACCAUGCCUGUAAAGAGAAAGAUAAUACAUUUUAUGUGUGUCAAUUUUUAAAAAAACAGCAAGAUUUUUAAAAAGCCAUUUUAUCUCUGAGAGAUUCAAUGACCAUGUUUGAUGACAAGCCAGAUGGCAGCAUUCCCUAGACCCGGUGCCAAGACACAUGACAGGAGCCGCAAUUUACCUUCCGUGGUGAGGCUAGCUGCUGAAGCACACCACAGCUGCAGGCGAGCGGGCUGCUGCCGGUAGGUGCAAGCACAGUUGGUUCCCUCCCAAUUUGGAUGCAGCAGGUGUGAGUGAAGUGCUUGGCUCUGCGAGAUGGUCCUGGAAUAUCUUCACCACUCUUCACAAUUACGUCCUCUUGCAUUCCCACUGAUCCUUCAGAAUUGUGUGGCCUUUCAACUUUCUGAAAGGCCUUCACUGUCUCUUAAUUCAAAUUCUCCACAUGUAAAUACAAGUCAGAUCACCUUACAAUUUAAUCUUUAAGCAAAACUGUAAAUCAUCAUUUCCCGCGACAUUACAAUUGUUGGGGGAAAGGUGUUUGGUGUCACAUCUAAUGGCUUGAAAACUCGGAGCAUCUCUGGACACAGUCAAUAUCCAGGUCUCAAAUAUGCAUUUACUGUGUUUAUUAUAAUGACUGCCUUUGUAUUCACUGCAAUCAUUUUCUACUGUUUCUUCCUUUGUGUAAUCAUUUCUUCCCUUCCCCUCCAUUGUAUUUUUUUAGAGUAAUUCUAUAUUCUGUUUUUGAAUACACACUUCUCUUUCUUUUAAAAUAA